UGCGAUUACUAGGCCCGUACCACCAGUGCUGCCUAGAUCUAUUGUCUCAGCUGCAGAGGAACAACAGCUCAGGGCAAAGGCAGCUUUUAUCCCCGAGCCGCACAGUUAGCUGCUGCCACCCGCUUAGCCACAGGACAGUGCUGGGACCACAGGUGCCCAAGUCCUGUCGGCCAUCUUCCUGUCCUCCUGCCUGUGACACAGCCAACUCUUGAGAGACCUGGGUCCACUCCCUACACCAGCUGGCACCAGGGAAUACCUUGCAGACAGAUGGGGGCCACACAACGUCUCCAUCCUCCACUCCGCAAAGCUUUCUCCUGCCCCAAAGCCACCUCCACCCUCAGAACACCGAGUGGGUGAUCUUCAGAAACCCAGGGGUAGCCAUAGGAGGGUGAAAGCCACCUGACUACCUCAUGGGUCUCCUUCCCCGCGCCCACAGCCCCCGGUGCCCGCCUACGCCGACUCCGUACCGAAGUCUAGAAACUGCUUCAUGGACAACG